AGUGAACGCUGGCAGUAGGCCUAACACAUGCAAGUCGAACGGCAGCACAGUAAGAGCUUGCUCUUACGGGUGGCGAGUGGCGGACGGGUGAGGAAUACAUCGGAAUCUACUUUUUCGUGGGGGAUAACGUAGGGAAACUUACGCUAAUACCGCAUACGACCUACGGGUGAAAGCAGGGGAUCUUCGGACCUUGCGCGAUUGAAUGAGCCGAUGUCGGAUUAGCUAGUUGGCGGGGUAAAGGCCCACCAAGGCGACGAUCCGUAGCUGGUCUGAGAGGAUGAGCAGCCACACUGGAACUGAGACACGGUCCAGACUCCUACGGGAGGCAGCAGUGGGGAAUAUUGGACAAUGGGCGCAAGCCUGAUCCAGCCAUACCGCGUGGGUGAAGAAGGCCUUCGGGUUGUAAAGCCCUUUUGUUGGGAAAGAAAAGCAGCAGGUUAAUACCCCGCUGUUCUGACGGUACCCAAAGAAUAAGCACCGGCUAACUUCGUG
rnacentral:rRNA from 1 species